rnacentral:rRNA from 1 species
UUAAGCGACUAAGCGUACACGGUGGAUGCCCUGGCAGUCAGAGGCGAUGAAGGACGUGCUAAUCUGCGAUAAGCGUCGGUAAGGUGAUAUGAACCGUUAUAACCGGCGAUUUCCGAAUGGGGAAACCCAGUGUGUUUCGACACACUAUCAUUAACUGAAUCCAUAGGUUAAUGAGGCGAACCGGGGGAACUGAAACAUCUAAGUACCCCGAGGAAAAGAAAUCAACCGAGAUUCCCCCAGUAGCGGCGAGCGAACGGGGAGCAGCCCAGAGCCUGAAUCAGUGUGUGUGUUAGUGGAAGCGUCUGGAAAGGCGUGCGAUACAGGGUGACAGCCCCGUACACAAAAAUGCACAUGCUGUGAGCUCGAUGAGUAGGGCGGGACACGUGGUAUCCUGUCUGAAUAUGGGGGGACCAUCCUCCAAGGCUAAAUACUCCUGACUGACCGAUAGUGAACCAGUACCGUGAGGGAAAGGCGAAAAGAACCCCGGCGAGGGGAGUGAAAAAGAACCUGAAACCGUGUACGUACAAGCAGUGGGAGCACGCUUAGGCGUGUGACUGCGUACCUUUUGUAUAAUGGGUCAGCGACUUAUAUUCUGUAGCAAGGUUAACCGAAUAGGGGAGCCGAAGGGAAACCGAGUCUUAACUGGGCGUUAAGUUGCAGGGUAUAGACCCGAAACCCGGUGAUCUAGCCAUGGGCAGGUUGAAGGUUGGGUAACACUAACUGGAGGACCGAACCGACUAAUGUUGAAAAAUUAGCGGAUGACUUGUGGCUGGGGGUGAAAGGCCAAUCAAACCGGGAGAUAGCUGGUUCUCCCCGAAAGCUAUUUAGGUAGCGCCUCGUGAAUUCAUCUCCGGGGGUAGAGCACUGUUUCGGCAAGGGGGUCAUCCCGACUUACCAACCCGAUGCAAACUGCGAAUACCGGAGAAUGUUAUCACGGGAGACACACGGCGGGUGCUAACGUCCGUCGUGAAGAGGGAAACAACCCAGACCGCCAGCUAAGGUCCCAAAGUCAUGGUUAAGUGGGAAACGAUGUGGGAAGGCCCAGACAGCCAGGAUGUUGGCUUAGAAGCAGCCAUCAUUUAAAGAAAGCGUAAUAGCUCACUGGUCGAGUCGGCCUGCGCGGAAGAUGUAACGGGGCUAAACCAUGCACCGAAGCUGCGGCAGCGACGCUGAUGCGUUGUUGGGUAGGGGAGCGUUCUGUAAGCCUGCGAAGGUGUGCUGUGAGGCAUGCUGGAGGUAUCAGAAGUGCGAAUGCUGACAUAAGUAACGAUAAAGCGGGUGAAAAGCCCGCUCGCCGGAAGACCAAGGGUUCCUGUCCAACGUUAAUCGGGGCAGGGUGAGUCGACCCCUAAGGCGAGGCCGAAAGGCGUAGUCGAUGGGAAACAGGUUAAUAUUCCUGUACUUGGUGUUACUGCGAAGGGGGGACGGAGAAGGCUAUGUUGGCCGGGCGACGGUUGUCCCGGUUUAAGCGUGUAGGCUGGUUUUCCAGGCAAAUCCGGAAAAUCAAGGCUGAGGCGUGAUGACGAGGCACUACGGUGCUGAAGCAACAAAUGCCCUGCUUCCAGGAAAAGCCUCUAAGCAUCAGGUAACAUCAAAUCGUACCCCAAACCGACACAGGUGGUCAGGUAGAGAAUACCAAGGCGCUUGAGAGAACUCGGGUGAAGGAACUAGGCAAAAUGGUGCCGUAACUUCGGGAGAAGGCACGCUGAUAUGUAGGUGAAGCGACUUGCUCGUGGAGCUGAAAUCAGUCGAAGAUACCAGCUGGCUGCAACUGUUUAUUAAAAACACAGCACUGUGCAAACACGAAAGUGGACGUAUACGGUGUGACGCCUGCCCGGUGCCGGAAGGUUAAUUGAUGGGGUCAGCGCAAGCGAAGCUCUUGAUCGAAGCCCCGGUAAACGGCGGCCGUAACUAUAACGGUCCUAAGGUAGCGAAAUUCCUUGUCGGGUAAGUUCCGACCUGCACGAAUGGCGUAAUGAUGGCCAGGCUGUCUCCACCCGAGACUCAGUGAAAUUGAACUCGCUGUGAAGAUGCAGUGUACCCGCGGCAAGACGGAAAGACCCCGUGAACCUUUACUAUAGCUUGACACUGAACAUUGAGCCUUGAUGUGUAGGAUAGGUGGGAGGCUUUGAAGUGUGGACGCCAGUCUGCAUGGAGCCGACCUUGAAAUACCACCCUUUAAUGUUUGAUGUUCUAACGUUGACCCGUAAUCCGGGUUGCGGACAGUGUCUGGUGGGUAGUUUGACUGGGGCGGUCUCCUCCUAAAGAGUAACGGAGGAGCACGAAGGUUGGCUAAUCCUGGUCGGACAUCAGGAGGUUAGUGCAAUGGCAUAAGCCAGCUUGACUGCGAGCGUGACGGCGCGAGCAGGUGCGAAAGCAGGUCAUAGUGAUCCGGUGGUUCUGAAUGGAAGGGCCAUCGCUCAACGGAUAAAAGGUACUCCGGGGAUAACAGGCUGAUACCGCCCAAGAGUUCAUAUCGACGGCGGUGUUUGGCACCUCGAUGUCGGCUCAUCACAUCCUGGGGCUGAAGUAGGUCCCAAGGGUAUGGCUGUUCGCCAUUUAAAGUGGUACGCGAGCUGGGUUUAGAACGUCGUGAGACAGUUCGGUCCCUAUCUGCCGUGGGCGCUGGAGAACUGAGGGGGGCUGCUCCUAGUACGAGAGGACCGGAGUGGACGCAUCACUGGUGUUCGGGUUGUCAUGCCAAUGGCACUGCCCGGUAGCUAAAUGCGGAAGAGAUAAGUGCUGAAAGCAUCUAAGCACGAAACUUGCCCCGAGAUGAGUUCUCCCUGACCCUUUAAGGGUCCUGAAGGAACGUUGAAGACGACGACGUUGAUAGGCCGGGUGUGUAAGCGCAGCGAUGCGUUGAGCUAACCGGUACUAAUGAACCGUGAGGCUUAACCU